GGUGUCCUACUCAAGCAUUUGGGUUGUCUCUGAACUUUCUUUCACUUGAGGAAAAGGAAGCUCACGAACUGGUUGUUGGUGUUCUCUCAGCAGCAAUGGUUGCUUACAGGAGCCAUGGUGAAAAAGAGUGAUCUUUGUAAGAAUAUAUCAAUCCAUCAGAAACAAGAAGGGCAAGUUUCAGGGAUGGCAACAAGUAUUUGGUCAAUGUACCAUAACAAGUUAGCAUAAGUUUGGCUUACAGUUCCUUCUUCCUGAUCAAGUUUACAGGUUUUGCAGGAUCCACUGUUGUUUCAUCUCCUAAAAAAAAUUACUGCUAAGAUACUUAAUUCAGAACUUCUUACUGAGCCAGUCACAGCAGGCAGCCUCAAAAAGACGACUGGUGAUGCCCGGAAGUUGCCUGAGAUUGUUGCCGAAGCAGGAAAGGAAGCUACAGAAACAUGCAAGAGAUUGUAAUUCUCCAUUAUCGGCUGCUGUUUCUUGAACCUCCACGAUGUGAUCCAUCUGCAACCUUCGCCCUCUUGUUCCUUCAUCACUAGAUCGUUAAUUUGCGAUAUGCUGACCGAACGAACUAUGAAUCUGAAGCUUGGGUAUGUUCUGAGGCAAUGAAGCUAUCAGCAUAUCUAAGCUGGUCGGUCGUGGGAAUUUUGGGAGGACUGUCAAGCCUCUACAGUAGUCCAGCUCUAGUGUCUGCAACGAAGGCAGACAUGGAAUGGUCCUCAGCUCGUCGCAACCUCCGAUUGCAAGUUGACGAAGGCAAGGGAAUCCACCGUCCUCCACAUCAGUCCACUUCUCCAGCUCAGGCAUUGUCCGGAGUUCCAGUGUCUCCAGGCAUGGAAAUGCCUCGAGUGCCAUACUGUUACUGCAACUCGCCAGCUCUCUUCUUGCGCUCCAAUGGAUCAUCUUCCGUGUUCUGAUCUUGCGCAGUGGCUUCUUCUUCACUGGAAUCGCCACAGUCGGCCUUGCUGUAAUCAAUGGAGCUGCUAAACCAUUCUAGAGUCAGCUUCUCCAGGUGCGCUUUGCUCACCGAGUUGGCUGCCUUGGCAUCAUCAACACAAACAACAGGCUUCAAUCCUAAUAUACGGAGCUCACCUCUGAGGUUAGCGAGGUUCCCCAGCUCUCUAAUCACAUAAUGUUCUCUGUCUUUGCCGACGUAGAACGGCGACAACGUUUGGAGAUUGCUCAGUCUCCCAAUGUUCUCUGACGCGAGCCUCGUCCAGAUUGUACACUAACCAUCACGUGGAGACUGUUGGACACCAAGGGAGGCUGUGGGCCCAAAUAGUCCAAGAUUUGUGGGCCCAAACAAGGGUUUACUUCGCCUUGAGCGCGAUUCGAACCGCUGUCGCGCCUGUUUCCAUUCGCGGCCUGUUCACCUCUUUCGUCUCCGUCUGUCGAUCCAUCGCCAAAACCCUAGCUAUGACCCUCCGAUCGAAGCCCGAGAUCCUUCUCCCAGAUCGAGCGGCAGUCGCAAACCAUGGGUUCCGAUACUGAUAUGAGGGACGGUGGGUUCGAGUACUCCGACGACGAGCCGGAGGAACAGCAUGUCGAUAUUGAGAACUAGUUCUACGAUUCCGAAGGCAUAUUGCUAGGUCAGAAAGUGAUGAACCCUUGAGUUAGCCCCCAUGGGCCGCAUUGCUGCUUGAGUCAAACAGCCUCUGCUGCAUGGGUAUAACUGCUUACAUUGACACUCCCCAAGAGAGGAGGCUGAGACCGAGGAGGUGUUAUUUUUUCGACCAAGGGGGGCUCGAGAUGAUCUCAGAUAUUUAUCAGAGGUCUCGUAUUACAAUUCUUAUAUGUUCAUUUUUACUUGCAACCAUGAUCAUCAUUGUAGAAGCUGAGUUUGUUGUCAUAACUGCGUAGAUAUUAUUGUUGUUAUACUGAACUACUAAUUUGGUUGUGCACAAAGAAUUUUUUGGUGACACUUUUUUGGUCUACGGAACCAGUGCCAAACAUCCCAAAGAUUCCAAAAAUCUUGAGUGGCCACAGAUAUCUCCACAACCAGGAUACGUUCUCUCUGCCUGUGGCAUCACCUUUCCUCUCUAAAGAUGGAAGGUACCUUUUGUCUGCUACAUUACACGCAUUUGUGAUCAGGAAGCUAAUGGCUUUCUUGGAAGAUGCUUGCUGUUAGCAAGUGGCACCAAGCAUCGAGAAUUAGCCUCCACUCAUUUGGAUCAUGGUCCUCCACCAUCCUGUGGCUCUCCAACUUUAUGAACAUGCACGAUUAAACCCCACUAUGGUUCCUUUGCUUGGUGAAGUCACUUACAUGUAAAUUUGCUGUCACUCUCAUGUUCCCUAAAUGGAUUGAUAUCAGCAAUUUCUUUAGAACACAUUGUAUUAGUCAAUCCAUAUCUUAUUAAGGCCACUUAACCUUAUGAGAUUCUACUUUAACCAAUAGUGAUUCAGUGCUAGAUCGUUGCCAUCUUUGGAGACCAAGCACAAUGAUGAUGGGUUGUUUGUUUACUGGACUGGUCUCUUGAGUCUGUUGCCCUUUUUUCGGUUUGUCAACCCCGUCUAAUGAACCUAAGAUUUUGAGAAUUAAGAUAAGGAAAACCAGUUCACAUUUCUAUUUAACAUUAUUGAUUCUGACACUAUUAGCAUCUGAGCAACCAAAGCUUGAACUAUGAUACUUAUGACAUGAAAUGCAGCCAGUUGUUCUUUCUAUGACAUGUUUUCCCAAUAAUCACAUAUGUACGUAUAUAUCUCAUUCUCAAACCUCAAACUUACAUUCUGUAUCAUUUUUCUUAUAUUUAUGACUAAUAAAGUUUGUAUUU